UGAGAUGUAGCUUAAACGGUAGAGCAUCGCUCUCAUAAGGCGAAGGGUUCNGGUUCGAUUCCUGACAUCUCAA
rnacentral:tRNA from 1 species